rnacentral:lncRNA from 1 species
GCCAACACUAGAAGCAAAAGAAUUCAAAGGCUGGGUGGAUAUUUAAGAACUUAUUCUAACCUGUCAGGUUUCAAUUUGUGGGGCUUGGUUUAACAGAGGAAAAAAAUAUAAAUUGAUUUUCUGAUGUCUCACAAAUAUCACAUACCUGGAAAAAAAUUAAAACAAAAAAUGAAUUUUGUAAAAGGUUAUGUAUGACUUCCAUUUGCUCUGUAAAAAAAUGAACAAAGAUUGUGAAAGGAUCCUCUUCCACCACAUCAUUUAAUGGGUUAGCGGAACAGAUAGGGAGCUAUGACACUAGCACCAAAGAGAGAUUUUUCUUCUGGUUGGGUGGUGCUGGUGCCACGCCCCUUUCUGGGAUUUGACAAGUCUUUCCCACUCACCUAUACAAUAUGCCAAAUCAACUGGAGUUGUCAUUCUAAUGUUUUAAAGAAUGAUUGGGUUCCCCCAAACUGUAGGAGGUCGAUGGUAACAAUAAAGUGAUACAAAAUGCUUAUGUCAUUAUAAUUUAUGUAAGGGAGACCAUUAGGCUGAGAAUCAAUAUGAUUGAGGUUAUCUAUUCUCCUGAAAAGUGAAUUGGAGAAUAAAGAAAGAAUAUUUGAAAGGAUGUUGUGUACUAGGCAAUAUACUAGCAUGUAUUAGAAAAUACGGUAAACUGUGGGUUAGAAGAGUGAAAGUAGCUGGUAUGAUAGAGCACUGGACUGAGUAACGAAGAGAUUCUAGUCAUGGCUCUUGUGGUCAUUUCAUUUUUGAGCCUCACAUUCUUCCAAUUAAUGAGGGUACCAGAUUAAAUAAACUCUGGGGAUUCAUCCCAAUUCGAACUCUGUAAUUCUCUGAAUGAACUCUCUCUUCAAUUAAAGCCAAAUUAUUAACAUUUUAACUCAAGUUUAAAUUUAAUAGAGAAGUCAAAAUGAGGUAUGCACUUUGUGGAAUGUUUUUGGUCUUAUCACAAUAACCUGAUUAAAAUGGUGCCUUUAUUUCCAUGUUUACUCCUUUAAAUAAGAUGAAAGCUUUCAGAACAUUUAUUUGCAAAAUGACUGUCAAUAUCAACAAUAUGCAUCAAAGUACCAUAUAUGCUAAGGGAGAGGAGCACUUGAUGGGCUGCUAUGUUAACUGUAAAUUGAGAACUGCUUGUUUUAUGGCUUUUGCUGUUAAAAAAAAACUGCUGGCUUUUAAUAUGUACUUUAAAAUAUACUCAUGUCUGGGAGAGAACUUUUAAAAACA